rnacentral:rRNA from 1 species
GAUGAACGCGGGCGGCGUGCCUAAUAUAUGCAAGUCGAGCGAACGGACGAGAAGCUUUCUUCUCUGAUGUUAGCGGCGGACGGGUGAGUAACACGUGGAUAACCUACCUAUAAGACUGGGAUAACUUCGAGAAACCGGAGCUAAUACCGGAUAAUAUUUUGAACCGCAUGGUUCAAAAGUGAAAGACGGUCUUGCUGUCACUUAUAGAUGGAUCCGCGCUGCAUUAGCUAGUUGGUAAGGUAACGGCUUACCAAGGCAACGAUGCAUAGCCGACCUGAGAGGGUGAUCGGCCACACUGGACCUGAGACACGGUCCAGACCCCUACGGGAGGCAGCAGUAGGGAAUCUUCCGCAAAGGGCCAACGCCUGACGGCGCAACGCCGAGUGAGUGAUGCAGGUCUUCGGAUCGUAAAACUCUGUUAUUAGGGAAGACCUUAUGUGUAAGUAACUGUGCACAUAUUGACGGUACCUAAUCAGAAAGCCACGGCUAACCCCGUG